UAAUUCUUCUUCUCCCCCACUCGCCCUUUGACCCCAGAUGAGCCAGGCCAGCUAAAGAUCUACCUUCCCAAGAAGCUGCUCGAGUGUCUACCCAAAUGUUCCUCUCUGCCCAAGGAGCGCCAUCGCUGGAACACCAACGAGGAGAUUGCUGCGUAUCUCAUCACUUUUGAGAAACACGAUGAGUGGCUGACGACAUCGC